rnacentral:rRNA from 1 species
ACAACCUGCCCUUAGGUUGGGUAUAAACCCGGGAAACUGGGUAUAAUACCCGAUAGGUCUCGAUUGCUGGAAUGCAUCGAGAUUUAAAGCUCCGGCGCCUAAGGAUGGGUCUGCGGCCUAUCAGGUAGUAGUGGGUGUAGCGUACCUACUAGCCUACGACGGGUACGGGUUGUGAGAGCAAGAGCCCGGAGAUGGAUUCUGAGACACGAAUCCAGGCCCUACGGGGUGCAGCAGGCGCGAAAACUUUACAAUGCUGGCAACAGCGAUAAGGGAACCUCGAGUGCCAGGUUACAAAUCUGGCUGUCGAGAUGCCUAAAAAGCAUUUCAUAGCAAGGGCCGGGCAAGACCGGUGCCAGCCGCCGCGGUAACACCGGCGGCUCGAGUGGUAACCGUUAUUAUUGGGUCUAAAGGGUCUGUAGCCGGCCGGAUAAGUCUCUUGAGAAAUCUGGCAGCUUAACUGUCAGGCUUUCAGGAGAUACUGUCUGGCUCGAGGCCGGGAGAGGCGAGAGGUACUUCAGGGGUAGGGGUGAAAUCUUGUAAUCCGUGAAGGACCACCAGUGGCGAAGGCGUCUCACCAGAACGGACCUGACGGCAAGGGACGAAAGCUAGGGGCACGAACCGGAUUAGAUACCCGGGUAGUCCUAGCCGUAAACGAUACUCGCUAGGUGUCGGCCACGGUGCGACCGUUGUCGGUGCCGUAGGGAAGCCGUGAAGCGAGCCACCUGGGAAGUACGGCCGCAAGGCUGAAACUUAAAGGAAUUGGCGGGGGAGCACCACAACGGGUGGAGCUUGCGGUUUAAUUGGAUUCAACGCCGGAAAUCUUACCGGGACCGACAGCAAUAUGAAGGCCAGGCUGAAGACUUUGCCGGAUUAGCUGAGAGGUGGUGCAUGGCCGUCGUCAGUUCGUACUGUGAAGCAUCCUGUUAAGUCAGGCAACGAGCGAGACCCACGCCCACAGUUGCCAGCGUACUCUCUGGAGUGACGGGUACACUGUGGGGACCGCCGCCGCUAAAGCGGAGGAAGGAAUGGGCAACGGUAGGUCAGUAUGCCCCGAAUAUCCCGGGCUACACGCGAGCUACAAUGGUUGGUACAAUGGGUAUCUACCCCGAAAGGGGACGGGAAUCUCCUAAAACCAAUCUUAGUUCGGAUUGAGGGCUGCAACUCGCCCUCAUGAAGCUGGAAUCCGUAGUAAUCGCGUUUCAACAGAACGCGGUGAAUACGUCCCUG